GAUGAACGCUGGCGGCGUGCCUAAUACAUGCCAGUCGAGCGAACGGACGAGAAGCUUGCUUCUCUGAUGUUAGCGGCGGACGGGUGAGUAACACGUGGAUAACCUACCUAUAAGACUGGGAUAACUUCGGGAAACCGGAGCUAAUACCGGAUAAUAUUUUGAACCGCAUGGUUCAAAAGUGAAAGACGGUCUUGCUGUCACUUAUAGAUGGAUCCGCGCUGCAUUAGCUAGUUGGUAAGGUAACGGCUUACCAAGGCAACGAUGCAUAGCCGACCUGAGAGGGUGAUCGGCCGCACUGGAACUGAGACACGGACCAGACGCCUACGGGAGGCAGCAGUAGGGAAUCUUCCGCAAUGGGCGAAAGCCUGACGGAGCAACGCCGCGUGAGUGAUGAAGGUCUUCGGAUCGUAAAACUCUGUUAUUAGGGAAGAACAUAUGUGUAAGUAACUGUGCACAUCUUGACGGUACCUAAUCAGAAAGCCACGGCUAACUACGUG
rnacentral:rRNA from 1 species